rnacentral:rRNA from 1 species
GAUGAACGCUGGCGGCGUGCCUAAUACAUGCAAGUCGAGCGAACGGACGAGAAGCUUGCUUCUCUGAUGUUAGCGGCGGACGGGUGAGUAACACGUGGAUAACCUACCUAUAAGACUGGGAUAACUUCGGGAAACCGGAGCUAAUACCGGAUAAUAUUUUGAACCGCAUGGUUCAAAAGUGAAAGACGGUCUUGCUGUCACUUAUAGAUGGAUCCGCGCUGCAUUAGCUAGUUGGUAAGGUAACGGCUUACCAAGGCAACGAUGCAUAGCCGACCUGAGAGGGUGAUCGGCCACACUGGAACUGAGACACGGUCCAGACUACUACGGGAGGCAGCAGUAGGGAAUCGUCCGCAAUGGGCGAAAGCCUGACGGAGCAACGCCGCGUGAGUGAUGAAGGUCUUCGGAUCGUAAAACUCUGUUAUUAGGGAAGAACAUAUGUGUAAGUAACUGUGCACAUCGUGACGGUACCUAAUCAGAAAGCCACGGCUAACUACGUG